rnacentral:rRNA from 1 species
GACGAACGCUGGCGGCGUGCUUAACACAUGCAAGUCGAACGGUGACGCGCCUUCCUUUUUGGUGGGUGUGGAUGAGUGGCGAACGGGUGAGUAACACGUUAGUAACCUGCCCCCUUCUUCUGGAUAACCGCAUGAAAGUGUGGCUAAUACGGGAUAUUCUGGGUCUGUCGCAUGAUGGGUCUGUGAAAGAUAUUGUUUCGGUGGGGGCUGGGCUCGCGGCCUAUCAGCUUGUUGGUGGGGGGAUGGCCUACCAAGGCGGUGACGGGUAGCCGGCCUGAGAGGGUGGACGGUCACACUGGGACUGAAACACGGCCCAGACUCCUACGGGAGGCAGCAGGGGGGAAUAUUGCACAAGGGGCGCAAGGCUGAUGCAGCGACGCCGCGUGAGGGAUGGAGGCCGUCGGGUUGUGAACCUCUUUCGCCAGUGAAGCAGGCCUGCCUCGUUUGUGGGUGGGUUGACGGUAGCUGGAUAAGAAGCGCCGGCUAACUACGUG